AGAGUUUGAUCAUGGCUCAGAUUGAACGCUGGCGGCAGGCCUAACACAUGCAAGUCGAGCGGUAACACAGGGAGCUUGCUCCAACGAAAAGAGAAGAGUGGCGGACGGGUGAGUAACACGUGAGCAACCUGCCCAACAGAGGGGGAUAACACUUGGAAACAGGUGCUAAUACCGCAUAGGUCAUCAUUCCACAUGGAAAGAUGACAAAAGACGCUACGGUGUCGCUGUUGGAUGGGCCCGCGCUGCAUUAGUUAGUUGGUGAGGUAACGGCUCACCAAGACCAUGAUGCAUAGCCGACCUGAGAGGGUGAUCGGCCACACUGGGACUGAGACACGGCCCAGACUCCUACGGGAGGCAGCAGUAGGGAAUCUUCGGCAAUGGACGAAAGUCUGACCGAGCAACGCCGCGUGUAUGAAGAAGGCCUUCGGGUUGUAAAGUACUUUCAGCGAGGAGGAGGGCAUUAAGGUUAAUAACCUUAGUGAUUGACGUUACUCGCAGAAGAAGCACCGGCUAACUCCGUGCCAGCCGCCGCGGUAAUAC
rnacentral:rRNA from 1 species